rnacentral:rRNA from 1 species
GACGAACGCUGGCGGCGUGCUUAACACAUGCAAGUCGAACGGAAAGGCCCUGCUUUUGUGGGGUGCUCGAGUGGCGAACGGGUGAGUAACACGUGAGUAACCUGCCCUUGACUUUGGGAUAACUUCAGGAAACUGGGGCUAAUACCGGAUAGGAGCUCCUGCUGCAUGGUGGGGUUGGAAAGUUUCGGCGGUUGGGGAUGGACUCGCGGCUUAUCAGCUUGUUGGUGGGGUAGUGGCUUACCAAGGCUUUGACGGGUAGCCGGCCUGAGAGGGUGACCGGCCACAUUGGGACUGAGAUACGGCCCAGACUCCUACGGGAGGCAGCAGUGGGGAAUAUUGCACAAUGGGCGGAAGCCUGAUGCAGCAACGCCGCGUGCGGGAUGACGGCCUUCGGGUUGUAAACCGCUUUCGCCUGUGACGAAGCGUGAGUGACGGUAAUGGGUAAAGAAACACCGGCUAACUACGU